AAAGUUUUUAAUACAGCUUAUGUGUCAGUUCAUGUCAUCAAGAUGUUGGCACUCUUGUUAGUUAUAAAAAACAUUUUGAUUAGUUUAUGUGUUUUAUAGGAGUUAUAUUAGUAUUUCAGAUGGCAAAUUACACAGGAGAUAUUUUGGCAGCAGCCACAUUUAGAGCCUAAUACAGACUGACUAACAGCCAUGGUGGACUGAAUCGGAAGUUGGAGAAAUGAUAUUCAAUGGGCCAGGCACAGACCUCAUGGAUUUAUAGACUUUUAUGAAUAAGUUUAUAAUCCAUGCAGAAGUAUCAUUUGUCCAUAUACUGUAUUUCAUUUAUUUAUACCAUUUAAAAUCAAUUAGCUGAUCACAAAUACAUCAUAACAUCAUAAUGAUGAUGUAACAGUGAUGUCACCCAUUACUACAUCAUUGUGGCAUCACACAUCCAUAGCUUUUGUGACAUUACUCUGUUAUAAUGACAUAAUAUAGUUAAUUAUAACAUUUGGAAUUAGGUUUUUUGUGUCUGAUUUCACCAGUGAUUUAAAUAUAUUAUGUCAAGUGAUGUCAUCAUAGCAGUGAUGUGAUGCCAUAAUGACAUCAUCUAUUGUUACAUUAUUGUGGUAUCAUAAUACAAAAGCCUUUUAUGGCAUCAUCCAUUGUUACAUCACCAAUGAUGAUAACUAAUGUUGCUAUGUUAUCAUUCCGAAUUCAAACAUCACUCUGAAGAAGUUAAAUGAAGGCAUUUUCUUCACCAUCCCAAAAUGCUUCACUCCCUGAGGUGAUGUCAACCAGUGUAGCUUACAUUACACAGUGUGGCAGGAAGUCUUUAAGUCAAGUUUGGUCCAAGAAGUCAAAAAAAGGGCAAAAGCCUUUCCAGAAUAUGCCUAUAUCCAUGCAUAUAGAUAUACAGACAUUUGAAUGGCAUUGCAUCAAGAUGAAAUCAGCACAAUAGUAUAUCAGUAUGAUGGCAUUUAUUGUUACAUGACAUCACACUCUGUAAUAGUUUUGUGAUGUCAUCCUGGAUUCGAAUGAAAUAUUGAAGGAUUUAUAUGUGAUAUUCUUCUUAUCCAAAAUACUUUAUUCUGGGAUAUUUUACAAAUUUCAUAAUUUUCUGAGGAUCUGGAAUCAGUCCCACCCCCAUGGAAAUUUUCAAAUUCCUAAUAUGUCCAGAAAUGCCCAAACAAUUUGUAUGGACACAUAAAUAUAAUCUAUUACAAGUGUUUAUGGUAUAGAAAGGGGAGGAACAUCAAUAUAUCAUAGUAAAAAGCUUAGAAAUAUUAAAAUUCUAUAUUUGAAUAUGAUUAUUGUUUGGCAUUCAAUACAUUUAGAAUAAAUAGAAUCUAUAUGUGCAGGAGAAAAAUAAAUGUCAUCUUAGGUUCAGUUUUCAUUAAAAAAAAUAGUGGAUUAUGGAUGCUCAUGAACUAUAAAUAAUUACAAUAGGAUUAAUAAGAGUGAGUAACUUAAUGAAAAUAUACUUAAAUUUAUAUCUUAUUUAUACUGUUAUUACUACAUUUUCACUACAUAUCUUUUUCCAAUGAUCAAUGAUUGCUUAUGCAAUGAUUUGCUUAUCAAUGAUUGGAACUAUUUAAAUCCAAGAG
rnacentral:lncRNA from 1 species